rnacentral:miRNA from 1 species
AUACCAAUCAUCUGGGAGUUUGUUAAAAUGCAGUUUCUCAUUGAAUAGGACUGGAGAUGAGCCUGAGAUCCUGCAUUUCUAAGAGGUUCUCAGAUGAGAAUU